rnacentral:tRNA from 1 species
GACUCCGUGGCGCAACGGUAGCGCGUCCGACUCCAGAUCGGAAGGUGCCUGUUCAAACAUGUCGGCGUCA